UCGGACUGUCAUGAUGUCAACGAUAUUUUUACCUAAUAUAUGACAUAUAAUGAAGUUUGCCAACUACUGAAUUGAUAUAAGCAGGUACAUAAUUUUCUUUUUAAACCUUAUUUUUUCACCUACUAUAUCAUAAAUUUUUAAUAGAACUAAUACAAUUAUCUGCUCUAGAUACGUGGAGCGCCCCAGGUGGUGGAAAUGUUGUCAAUAUACCAAGUUUAAUAUAGCCAGGUGACUAGCUAUGCCCAUCUGUAGUUAUUGUGAAAUCAUAUUCGUGAUGCAAUCAGGAAGGAAGAGAUAACUUGUCAUUGAUAUCAGGUCAUCCCUGUUUACGAAAUCACAAAAUACGCAAUCGAAAUUCUGUACAUGGACGAAAGGUUUAGCUUAGUAUAGGCUAUCGGAUUUUUUUUUUUCUUUUCUUUUGAAGUGUUUGCACUGCAUGGAUCAGAAAAGAGAUAUCCAGAUAUCAUUGAUCAUGCGAAGUAUGAUUUUGACGUCUACAAUUGAAGAGAACAGCAUAGUAGGUAACGUACUCAAUAUUUCAAUUCUUGAUUACAGCAGCCAACAGGUAAAACUAGGGAAUGAAUUUUAUUUUUAUUAUUAUGUACUCUCUUUCCUUAACUAUAUGAUUCAUGCCCUGUAGAUUGUAUAAUGCUAGCAACACAGAACUCCGCUGACACCUCAUCAUAAGCACCGUCCAAUAGGCGGUAGUAGCGUUUCGGUUGCAGAGACGACACCUGUGAGGCUUGUAAUCCCGUUCCCACAUAUAUACCUGCUGUUGCUGCUUUGACUCAGCUUUCAUGUCACAGAUCUGCUUCACACCUCAAUUCUUCUACACCUACGAAUGCAUCCCAGAGCGCGUGGGACGUGCUGUCCCUGUCCCCCCUUUAUGGACAGGACUGGACCGGCAGAUGAUCCAUGCAUAAUACAACUCCCCACACCACUCUCACCUUCUCAUUUGAACUCUCGGAUUCGGAGGUACAUAUAUUUACAUUGGCGAGCGAUUUAGAUCUGGCAAGGAUGACCAAUGCCACGGUAGGAACCGCCGAGAAAGAGUAGAAACGAAAUACUCGUCGAGGACAAGUGGACGGUUUAUAGAUCUCCACAUUGUACAUUGUUGUUGCCAAUGGAGCCAACGACCCGAAACCUGGUCAAAACACCACCCGUACUUUUGGGUAUUGUUUCCCACAUUUGGCUCUGGUACCGGAAAAUGUUUUCGGGUCGGGUACAGAAAUCCC
rnacentral:lncRNA from 1 species